rnacentral:rRNA from 1 species
CCCUUAGAUGUCCUGGGCCGCACGCGCGUUACACUGAUGCAUUCAACGAGCUUAUAACCUUGGCCGAGAGGCCUGGGCAAUCUUGUUAACGUGCAUCGUGAUAGGGAUAGAUUAUUGAAAUUAUUAAUCUUGAACGAGGAAUUCCUAGUAAACGCAGAUCUUCAAUCUGCAUUGAUUACGUCCCUGCCCUUUGUACACACCGCCCGUCGCACCUACCGAUUGGAUGGUCCGGUGAAGCCUCGGGAUUGUGGUUCUUGCCGCUUUAUUGUGGCGUGACCGCGAGAACUUGUCUAAACCUUAUCAUCUAGAGGAAGGUGAAGUCGUAACA